AAUCUGGUAAUCUCUAGCAAAGAGCCAGUAGUUAGCCUUGGAACCGAAAUCGUGAGAUUAGGUUUAAGCGUAGGCGAACUAGAAUUCGAGCCGUAAUGAGUAAUCGUGAAGUUAUUGAGCCUCGUUAAAACAUAUUUAAGUAGAUGUUGAUAGGGUCACCUACCUAGCAAACAAUAUCGGUAAUAUCGUUAUGCGAGAUAUUAUGAGAAAUCUACCGGGGUCC
rnacentral:ncRNA from 1 species